CAAAAGUUUUAUUCUAGCUUAAAAUUUGGGUUUAGUUUUAUUUCACAUGCAAGUUCAAGCAUUUAGGUUAAAAAUUUAAAUAGUUUUUAUUCUCAGAUCUAGGCAGUGGGGGGAUUUGAAUAUAAACGCUAGUUGGAUUCAGGAAUAUCUAAAAAUAUUAACAAAAUUUGUGCCAGCAGUUGCGGUUAUACAAAUAAUAUUACUCAAAUUUUUUGGUUUCAGUAAGUUUUGUUGUUAUUGCUUGGGAGAAAAUUUUAUUAGGUGAAAUUAUAAAUUUUUAAAUUAGGCUAAUUAAUUAAAGCGAGGCUGGGAAACUCUUCAUUAAAACUAGGAUUAGAUACCCUAUUAUUGGGAGUGUAAAUUUAAUUGCUGGGUCAGUAUUAGUUUUGUUCUUGAAAAUUAAAGUCUUUGGCGGUACCUUAGUCCAUUCAGAGGAACCUGUCCUUUAAUCGAUGGUCCACGAUUUGAAUUACUCUCUUUUUAGUUUGCAUAUCGUCGUAGCUUGAAUAUGCUUCUAGGUUGAAAAUAUUCAAGAUUCUUUUCAGGAAGAAAAUCAGAUCAAGGUGUAGCUUAUGGGGGAGGAGAGAUGGGUUACAAUAAAAAUAUUUAGUAGGAUUAUCACAUUUAAUUGUGAAAUGAAUAUGGAUUUGAAUGUAAUUUUAACUAAUUAGUUAAAGUGAUUUAGGCUCUAGGGUAUGCACAUAUCGCCCGUCGCUUUCACUCUAAAGUGAAAUAAGUCGUAACAUAGUAGGCCUACCGGAAGGUGGGCCUGGGUAGAC
rnacentral:ncRNA from 1 species